CAUGCAGUCGAGCGAUUUACUUCGGUAAAGAGCGGCGGACGGGUGAGUAACGCGUGGGUAACCUGCCUCAUACACAUGGAUAACAUACCGAAAGGUAUGCUAAUACAGGAUAAUAUAAGAGAUUCACAUGGAUUUCUUAUCAAAGCUCCGGCGGUAUGAGAUGGACCCGCGUCUGAUUAGCUAGUUGGUAAGGUAAUGGCUUACCAAGGCGACGAUCAGUAGCCGACCUGAGAGGGUGAUCGGCCACAUUGGAACUGAGACACGGUCCAAACUCCUACGGGAGGCAGCAGUGGGGAAUAUUGCACAAUGGGCGAAAGCCUGAUGCAGCAACGCCGCGUGAGUGAUGAAGGCCUUCGGGUCGUAAAACUCUGUCCUCAAGGAAGAUAAUGACGGUACUUGAGGAGGAAGCCCCGGCUAACUACGUGCCAGCAGCCGCGGUAAUACGUAGGGGGCUAGCGUUAUCCGGAUUUACUGGGCGUAAAGGGUGCGUAGGUGGUUUUUUAAGUCAGGAGUGAAAGGCUACGGCUCAACCGUAGUAAGCUCUUGAAACUGGAAAACUUGAGUGCAGGAGAGGAAAGUGGAAUUCCUAGUGUAGCGGUGAAAUGCGUAGAUAUUAGGAGGAACACCAGUAGCGAAGGCGGCUCUCUGGACUGUAACUGACGCUGAGGCACGAAAGCGGUGGGGAGCAACAGGAUUAGAUACCCUGGUAGUCCACCGCCGUAACGAUGAGUACUAGUGUCGGGGGUACCCCCCCUCGUGCCGCAGCUACGCAUUAGUACUCCGCCUGGCAGUAC
rnacentral:rRNA from 1 species